rnacentral:lncRNA from 1 species
GGUAGUGAAGGUGUACACCCGUAGGCACAAGAAAGGAUUCAGGAGAGGAGGAUGGGAAGCUGUUUUGUUGGUCUGAAUGCUGCUAGUUAAGGGGGCCAUGAGUCUUUUAUGCUUUCAUAUAAAUACUAUUAUGAUUGUUUGGGGAGGGUAUGUUUUGGCAUAGCUUGUAUCAGGUUUCUUAGAAUAAUUGGGAGAGCUAGAGAAGCUUCUGAUUCCUUCCCUCCAUUAUUGAUAAAUAAAAUUGAGGUUAAGGCUUAUCAUAUACAUACCCAGUCAUUGAACUUCUCCAUAUUCCUUAAGAGGCAUAUCUUGCUUGGCUUAUUUGGCUGGCUCUACUCAUGUAGGAUUUCGAAAGGCGAAUCUGACAUCCUGCCAAAAAUGAUUAAUCAGUUUCUUUAACAUGAAGUUUAGGGAUUCAAUCUUUAUAUUAUUUUUAAGAGUUAUUCAAUAUCCCUACCUAGAAUAGACAAAUGAAGCUUGAAACUACCUAUAAUAUUAAUGUUGUUGUUUAAUUAUGACAUUUUGUUAUCGGUCUUUCUAACUUACGAAUAUCCAUCUUCUGAUAUGUGUUCACAUGCAUAUUUUAUGGAUGUAGAUUUUAUAGUAUUUCUUUAUUUAUUUUAUAUGGCAUUAGCUGUAUACUUUUUUUAUAAAAUAUUAAUAUAAAUAUUAAACCACCGAUUCACCAAAAAUUUUAAGCUGAUGGUUGAAAGAAAAUUCAAUUAUAGCCUUAAGCUUAAGCUACUUUGGUGGACUAGAAAGUAUAAUCUUAGAAACACUCAAUCUGAUCAAGUUCUCUGAAGCAAGAAUUAAAGUUCGGAAAAAUCUUUGCGGAUUCUUACCAGCAACUAUAGAAUUAAAGAGUGAGAACUGAGGAAAUUUUUCCCUUAAUUUUGGGGAUUUUGAACCCUUAGAAGCUCCUGUAAUAAUCCAAUAUGAUCUAUUUCAAAGUGAUUUUUCCAAUCCUAUUGAUUUAUGUAGAAUAAAUUCAGUGAUUUUAGAUGAAGGGCUCCAAAGUGAUGGUCUCCCAGAUACCUUAAUUUUCUCAAACAGAAUGGCUUAUCCAUCUCAAGAAAUCCUUUCGAAGCACUUAGGAAGUUGGGUGAUGAAGAAGAAAACCUUGUUCGACCGGAAAGAGUUUCAGCCCUUGAAUCCUCGCGAAAAAAAUAAUUUUCAGAAGGCAAAAUUCAAAUUUGGGUAUAGCUGGCAUCUCCAUGUACUUAGAAGGGGAAAAGACUUCAACAGAAAAGAGAGAAAAACAGACCUCGAAAGAAGAAAAGGCAGCCAGUCGGCAUUUUAUUAUCUCAAAAAACAGCUCACCUAGCCCUCCCCAACCAAAUUUUUUCAAACUUAAUGUAUUUGCAGACAUUUUUAAAGCUGACACACAGAUGGUAGGCCCCAAGAAUUCUAUUAAACAGAAUUCCAAUGGCUUUUGGUAUUCUGACGAAUUGGAGGAAGAAUCAGAGUCCUCUCCUCCAUCAAGGAACUUCACUUGCGGGCCAUCUCCUGUUUUCAGUUCUCAACCAAAAUUACCAGCCUCUCCCAAGACUAAAAUAUCCUCUGCAAUGAAAGCUAUUCCAUUUCAUGCCAUAAAUUUUUCUAAGCACCUCAAGACCUAUACCAAAGGGAGAACUUUUCGCAACAUUUGGAUGAGCUUAACUAAUUCUGAUUUAUUAGAGGAAAGUUGUGUGAAGAUACAAAUUCAAAAUUCAGUUGGCAAAAGGUCAGUACUGCCUUCCUCCUUAAGUAAUAAAUUUUCUCAAUCCUCCUCCAAACUUUCUGGUUCAUUCUUUAAUUUUGUGCAAGAUACUUCUUAUCUAAAAAAAGUUGAGAACCUAGAAGAUGAAUUCAAGGAAGUUGAAUCAGUCACCAGUGUAAGUAGUGCAGAAUUUGAACCAGUUGAGGAAGAAAUAAUUCAAUCAGAGACAAGAAACAAGAGGACAGUGACUCUCUCGGUCCAGAUUUUAUUAAAUUGUUUUCCUCCCCAUAAAAAGAAAUUUUGUGCAGGUCAGCAAGUAUCCUUCCCCCUCAAGAGUUGGUUCCUUUCUUGGCAGCAUGUGAAAUUGAAUUGAUAUAAGGGCAGAGGUAGCAAAGAUGGAGAUUAUAUCAUGGAACACUAGAGGAUUCAUGGGCCAUUCGAAACAAUUGGCUAUUAAAAAUCUUUUGAAGAAAGCUAAUCCAGAUAGAGCAUUGAUUCCGGAGACCAAAAGAGAAGAGAUUGCCAGUUGUAUUAUAAAGGCACUAUGGAUAAAUAUAAGUUGUCGAUUAUUGAAGUUCGGUCAAGAGAAGGAAGGUCAUUACAGUGUGGCUUAUAAGUUGUUUCAACAUUAAUUUAUAAGUUGUUUGGAAAGGUUCUCGCAGAAAGAUUAAAGAAAGUCAGGCCAGGUAUUACUUUGUAAGACCUCCUAUUAUCUAUACCUAUAAAAGGAAGGGUAGAAAGGGAAAUUCCUUAGCAACCAAUUAUGAGAGAAUAAUGGGAGAGGAUCGUGUAGGUGGGGCCCGCCAGGAGGGAAGAGAGAGAGAGGUAUAAAUAUGUAAUGUUGGGGUAGGGGAGGCUAGGUCUUUUUUUGUUAUUUCAAGGAGAGUAAAGGUUGUUGUAGCCUGAGGGUAUCCAGCCCCGUAUAAAGGAGUUGGGUAAGUUUUCUAUGUUGUUCUUCCUUUAUUUUUCAUAUCUACUACUGUUGAAUGUGUUUUGGCUUUUACAUAAAUAAAGAAUUACAGAGUGCUGCCUCUGUUUAGCCAUUUGGUUAGGAUAUUUUGUGUUUUAUUGUUAGAAUCUAACAUACUUCUCCAUUACAAUGUGGCUUUCUGGAAGAGUGCCAAAUCUUGGAUCCUAUUUUAAUAGCAAAAGAAACUGUGGAGGUCUAUAGUAUCCGAAAAAAGAAAAGAUGGAUCAUUAAAUUAGACCUUGAAAAGGCCUUUAACAGAGUGGAUUGGAAAUUUUAGAAAAUGUAAUGCAAAAGAAGAUCUUCGACGUAGGAUAUUGUGUUAUAUUGGCCAGCCUUUACAGCAUCCCCACUUUGAAGUCUUUGAUGAUCAGGACUUUCGGAUCAGCCCUCUGCUUCAAACAGUUUUUGCUCAACCAAUCAAGGCUUAUUCUUCUUUGUUCUCAGCAUGCUGCCUUUGAUUAUGAUUUUUUUGGAAAGAUUCUUUUUAUCAUUUUGUUUGUCUCUGUUUUUGUGGCUUUUUGUUUUGAUCUUGUGUUGUCGCUUUUUGGAUGUUUUGAGGGCACUAAGGGGGUGUCAACCUAGUUUGAGAUGCCCGGAUGCGCCUGUUGAUCUUCCCUCUCCCUUUUUGCUCUUUGUAUAAUCCUCAUGUACAUUGAGCUUUGUCUCUUUCUUUAUAUUAAUAAUAGUGAGACUCGUAUCCUUUUUUAAAAAAAGAAAGAAAAUUCAAUUAUAUAUCACCAACACUCUCCUCACUUGUGGGCUUGAAAUAUUUGAAAGGCCCAACAACUGGAAAUGGAUUUUAAUUGGGAGGAAACGACAAUGCGAGGCUUGAACACAAGACCUUCUUGGACCACCUGCUCGGAUACCAUAUUGAAAGGGAGACAAACAAACACACAACUUUACGUGGAAACCUGUGUACCAGGAGAAAAACCACUAUAUUUUUUUCUUAUUAUUUUCUGAUGAAAAAUACAAUAGGUACAAGGGAGAAUAAAUAGAAUAUACAGAGGAAUAAAAAAGGAAAAUAUUUAGGAAUUAAGAAAAAUAUUCCCAUAAACUUUUCAUAAAUAUUCUAAGAUUCUAACAAUUAAAAGUUCUAUUUAUUCCAAAUUGUGACUGCUCUAAUGUGCAGUUGUUUUCUAAUUCAGAUGAUUGAGGAGCUUGGUGGUUCUCUCACUGCUGAUGGGAGUACAAGCACUCAUGUCAUUACAGGAAAAGUGCGAAAAACUCUAAAUUUUUGUAUUGCUCUCUUUUUAGGGUUAGUCUUGCAGCCUUAGACGAACACUCUUCUAUGUGUCCUUUUGGCCUUUGAAUACCGAUAAUUAUCUCAUUUGCACAAAAGUUAGCGAUUCCAUGCACACAAGGCCUUUGCCGUUAUUCUUCCAUUGCCUCGUAGUUGUGCUUAGGCUAGAAAUUGUUGUGAACCUUCUAGAUCUAAAAGGGUAUAGUUUCUUAUUCUACUGCCUGUUUACUUUUAGUUAAACAUCAAAAUCAAUUCUUAUGUUUGAGUUGGAUUGUAUCAUGCUCUUCCUUUUCAGUUGUUUCUAUCGUGAUGGUGGGUAGUGGUUGUUAAGACAACCAUUAGGCUAAUUUGGGUUUCAGGCUUACUUUUCUCAUUUUACGUGUAAAAUGGCUCAAGCUCACUAAUGAAAGAUAUUUGUUGGCUAGCUAGUGUUUUUAUCCUCGAUUUCCUUCUUCCCCUAAUACAUUAUGUUAUGGAAUUUGUUAGAUACCUAGAUUAGUAUAGGGUUGGGUAUAAGGGUAAUUAGAUAUUUAGAAAGUUACUAGUAGUUAUUGUGUAAGUGUGGUUACUAGUAGUUAUUAUGUAAGUGUGGUAACUAGGGUGGUUACAUGUUAUUAUAAAUGGAGGGAGGGUAAGUUGGGAGAAUUCUGGGAGUGAUAUAAGGCUUGGGUGAGAGUACUCAAGAGGGAGGGUUCCAAGUGCUUUAUACUUGGUUUUAUCUUGUAUUUUCUUAUAGUUACAUUAUAAUAAAUUCAGAUCUUGUUCUUGUUAGGAAGUAUAUGUCUCCAAUAUUAUUUAAAUACAGUAGAAGAAUUAAAAAGGGUAAUAUUGACCCACACGAGAAUAUAGGAGAGAUUAUAGGAGGAGAGAAUAUCGGAGGAGAUCUUUCCCAUUAGUUUGUUAGUAAAGCAAAAUAAAAGGGAGGAAAGAGGAGGGAGAAAGGGACAAAAUAUUCCAAAGAAGUAGAGGCUGCCGUCUUUCGUGCUCGGGAGAAGUAGAGGGUCCAAGUCAAGUUCUUUUUAUUCGACAAUCUCCGGAAGAAUGGAAGGAUCGUCGAGCAAAGGACCAAUGAUUGAGAGUAUCAUCGAAGGUGGAGGUAAGACAUUGAAGGAAAUCAAGGUAGAAGGUAAAACAAACAAGUUUGAAAGGGAUAAAAACUCGAACGAUCAUAGCAAAUUCAAGAAGGUUGAAAUGCCUGUGUUCAGUGGCACUGAUCUGGAUUGUGUUUAUUUAGAACGGAUUGGAAUCUUCAGGUCCAUAAAUCGAUGGACUCUAAGAAGUUGCUGAAUCCAUAGAAGAAUCGAGGAAAACGCGAUUGCAACGGUUAUACAAUGAAGGUGAAGAGGAUGGCAAAGAGUGACCAAGAAGAAACUAUAGAGGAAGGUCGAUAAGGAUUACUUGUGAGGCUCGAAAUGAAGACUCGAGUGAAGAAAAAUUUGUUGCUCAAAGAAACACAAAAUGGCUGGUUGCAAUGGAGAAAGAAGAAGCCGACAGUUACCGGUCUACAGAGGCUCGAGAAGGUGGUCUGAAAUAGGGGUGAAUCACGUGACGAGGAAGAAGUUGCUGCACACAUGAUGGUUCCAAUGACGUGGUAGAAAUUGGUAGGAAAGAGGAUUAGGACAAAAGGAACAAUCUUGGGUCUUACUAUUUCAAGUGGGCUUCAACUUACUCUAAAUGAGCUUCAACUUAUUCUAAAUAAAACAUUGGGGCACAUCAUUUGUAGAUGAAGUGGAUGGAGAGUUCCAAAAAUAGGAGGGAAGAAAAACGUGUAUGUAGGUGGGUCCUAGGAAUGAAACCGGUGGCAAUAUGAUUUUGAUCUUGACGCAACAAUUUGAUUAUGGCCUAGCCCACUAGAGAUGAAGGGUUUGAAAAUUAAACACUUGUUGGUGAUAUGCAAAGGGUUAACUAAGACAAUGUGUUAUGGAAAAGGAAAAUUCAAGUACAUUGGGUUGCUUUGUGGACUGAAGUCAAUGGACCUUAUUGGAAUCGAGAGUUUUUCAAAGCCGAAGGGGAGGAUUUCUUUUUCAACAUUGAAGAGCAGAAUGCUGGGGAUUGUUUGCAAUUAAAAAGAGAAAAAACGAGAAAGGGGCCAUGAUCAUGUUUGUAAGCACACCUUGAGGACAAGGUGUUUUGAAGGAUCGGGUAAUGUUAGAUACCUAGAUUAGUAUAAGGUUAGGGUAUAAGGGUAAUUAGAUAUUUAGAAAGUUACUAAGUUAUUAUGUAAGUGUGGUUACAUCUUAUUAUAAAUGGAGGGAGGGUAAGUGAGGGAGAAUUCUGGGGUGAUCUAGGGCUUGGGUGAGAGUACUCAAGAGGGAGGUUCCAAGUGCCUUAUACUUGGUUUUAUCUUGUAUUUUCUUAUAGUUCAUUAUAAUAAAUUAAGAACUUGUUCUUUUAGGAAGUAUCCUAACAGAAUAACUCUAGAAGGUCUCAUGUUAGCGAAUGAUAAUCUGCGUUAAGUGUGUAUUUGUAGGAGUUCUUCUCCGGGCAUCUAUGGUUGAUAUUCUUUACCUUUCAAUAUAUCAAAGCCAAGGAUUCUUUUGCAUUUCUCUAUGCUUUUUCUUUACCCAUUUAUGCUUUUUUAGUUAUAUUUGAGAGUAGUAUUUCAUUUCUUUCAUGUGAAAUGUUGAACUUCAGUAGUGUGGAGAGUGGAACGUAAUAUCUUACCUUUUAUAUUAGUAAACUUGAUUUUAAGCAAUGUGUUUUUGAAGAUUUUAUGUUGUAGAAUGUUUUUUGUUCUUCAAGCUACUGUUCUUAACUUUAUUUUCUCCUGUUAAUGUUCUCAAUGAUUAUCGAGCAUAUGCAUUACCAUGUGGCUUCAAGCGUGUCAGUGUGCUCUUGCUCAUAAUUUUUACUAUAUCUUGUUACUAAAAUUGCAAGUUAAUUGCAAAUUACUUAGAGCUUGGAUUGUCUCCUCCAGUUGGUUAAAGGAAAGCUACCGGGAAGGCAGAUUUGUUGGUAAGUUCGAAUGGCUUGCUAGUAUCAAAGCAUAAUGUAUUUUCUUCCACUUAUGUUUUUCAUCCUACCUAAUUUUUGUGAUUGAUUAAUUCCUUAUGGAUCUGCAGACGAGUUGCCUUACAUACUAAAUGAUGAUGACUACAUAUCGAAGUAUCGAGCCAGCCUAAAAGUUGUAGUUCUCAGGGCAAAAGCAUGUUCUUGAGCUUUAUUUGAAGGGUAUGAUGUUUGCAUAUCAGCUCACGCUCAACCACCACCUAAAACUCUAUCCCUGAUAGUCAAGUCAGCCGGUGGAAAUGUAAGUUCUCUGUUAUUGUACAAAUCUCGAGUACUAGGUUUGGUUCUCUAUAUUACAUAUACAACCAAUAUAAUAUGGCUAUCCUCCAUCUAAUGAAGACGUGAAGUUCUCAAAAAAACAAGCACGUAUACGAAUUCUAGACAUGGGUCAAUAAAUCAUAGACAUGGUGACGUGUACAUUUUUUUCUUAAAAAUAUAGGAUAGUGCUAGAACACAGUUUUAAUAUAUAUAAUUUAAAAAGUAUGUAUCAUAUUUAUAUAGAAAUUCAAAGUCAAUAAGUUUAUGUAUUUAUAUGCUUAAAAAUAAGCUUGUCCUUCACUCAAAACUUAUUCAAAGCCAAGAGUUUAAUAUGUGUGUGUGACCAAUCUUGACCUUUAUUGCACUGGAAUACUUGUUGUCUAACACAUCUACUGUACUAACUAGUGUUCAACACGUGUUCUCCCAGUGUUCCAUACAUAUUGUUUAUUGAUACACUACCCAAACUAGAGUGUAUGUGCUUCUUUAAGUCUUUAAUAUUUAUGUUUGUUUUGAUCCUAGGAAUUGAGCAUGAAAUGUAAAAAGUCUAUGCACAAGGGAUCAUAUGGCCAUCUCCGUGUUUCUUUAAUUAUCAAAUUUGUUCAAGUUUUUAAUUGUCUCUAGAUCGAAAUCUGGAGUUAUUUUUUGUGAUUUGGUGUACAAAUACAUACAUCCAUGUUUCUAAUUAUGAUUAGAUUGUUUUCUGGUCGCAACAUUUUAUUGUUUAGCUUGUCUUUGAUCUUGAACUUACUAUUAUGUUGAUUUAAAUUCCAUUUUAGCCUUAGAACUUUCAAAACAUCCAUUUUAGUCAUCGAGCUUCCAAAACGUAGCCAACUAACGGUUUUAAAUUUUGUAAAUUAUUUUAUCAAAUUAAUAUUCAUUUAUCCAAUACUCAUCGGUCAUUUCUGCUAUAUGUGAUUGGAAUAUAUCUCAUACGAAGCAUUUUGAAAGUUGGGAAAAGAUGAAAAAUUUUAGGGACUAGAACAAGAAUUUGUUUAAUAUUUUUUGAUAGGGUGAAUAUACUUGCAAUUUCCUUGUAGUAUAUACAUAAUUUUUCUCUCAUUUGGCAAAUUCAUUAUGCUUGAAAAUUUAGGUGAUUCAUGAGCUAGAUAAAGUAAACAACGUAUGGAAGACGAGCUUUAUGGCUUGUGAGGAAGACGUGGAGGAAGCCUUGGUGGCCGUAGAAAAAGGGAUAUGGACUUUCAAACGUUGAAUGGCUAAUGCAUGUAUAAUGAGACAAGAAGUAGACUUGGAGGCCCCUCAAUUUGCUGAGUCCCUAUGAGAAACAAGGUCACCCUUUCAAUUUUGAACUAGCAGCAGCCAGCCAUUUCGUCCUUGUGUAAAUCCACUCUUUUCUCAACUCACUCUAAUUUGGUACAUAAACAAACUCUGAUCGCUCCAUCUCUAUAUUCAUCAGUACAUAAAAGACGAUAAGUUUAUUCAUGGAGAAAGUUGGGAAUGGUCCUUCAUUUAGUAACUUUGGGAAUUGUAAAAAUGAGGUAAUGAAGUUCUAUCAAGUUGAAUGUUCUUGUUUAUGUUGGAUGAGACUGAUUCUUGGAUACCAGAAUUAACUUGAAGUACGUGUUUGAGUUCCAUUGGAGUGAUUAGAGAAAAAAUGUUCCUUUAAAAAGGGUAUUUUUUUUAUGUAGACUCUCUUUUUAUUAAAAUUGCUUAAAAUACAAUUUGAGAGUAUUUCAAUAGCUUUCAAAGAGUUGUCAAACACUUGUAGUUUUUCUAAAUAACAUAUUUUCAAAAUUAAUUACUGUAAUAGUUAAACAAAAGAUUCUUUCCCUUAGAACUUUUAAAGUUUGUCUAGUUACCUCUUAAACCUUUCAAUUGUUUAAUAGGUCUUUCAAUUUUAUGUUUUAAGUGUCUAUAAAUUUUGAUUUUUUUUUAUUGUUAGAUAUAAAUCUGAAGAAAUGAAUAAAGUAGAUUUGUAAGUUUAAAAUAGUUUAAAAGUUGAGAAAUUAAAUUUGUGGUUUAAAAAAGUAAAUAGUUUGUGUUAAGUCGGGUUGUGAUAUUUUAUUUAUUUAUUUUAAUAAUAGAAGAGAGGGAGACGAAAACUGCAAACUGAAGGGAGAAGAAGCGGUGGCUGAAUUUUGUAUAUUUCUCCUUUCUUUUCAAUUUGAGAAAAUUUCUUUGCAAUUCACUUUGAAAAGGAAAUGAAUUGUAACGACCCAACUUUUCUAGGUAAGUCGAGGUCAUUAAUUUUUGACAAAAGACUUUGGUUGAUACAAAAUGAAACGUAAGCCAAUUUAAAAACAACUUUAAGUCAGGCCUGAUUUUCUAAUAUAAAAAAAAAAAAAAAACUUAAAAAUAAUACUUACAAAUAAAAGUUUGUAAACUAAAUUUCAAUACAACAUCUUAAACCUCAAAAGAAACCAUAAGCGGAAGCAAAAUGACACGUUUCCUAUGGCAAUCACGCUUCCUUCCUGCCCCUCGCCGAUUUGCCACCUUUAUUUCCUUUGCCUGAAAAUUAAACAUAAGAAGGGUGAGUAUAACAAUACUCAGUAAGAGACCCUCUACUGGUCCCGUCAGGGGAAAAUAAAUUGUUAACAUUCUAUUGGGACACCCUGUACAGUCGCAGUCUUGUGAUCCCGUAGGAUGCACAUUUCAGUCUAACGCCCGAGGGACGUACAUAUCAGUCUAGUGUUCUGCAGAAACACAUAUCAGUCUAAUGCUCCCGAAGGUGCAGAAUAAAUUGGUGAUCCCGUGGGACACCUACAAGGCACACAUCCCAAUAAAAGCUAACAAUUUUCCCCUCAUUCCAUUCAAUCCAUCUUUCAGUUACUUCAAAAUAUAAAGUUCUUUCUCUCAACGUCCUAACAGUCAACUUAUCUCACUUUAGUCAUAUGUCUGUCAAUAACAUACUAAUACGUCAGUCAAUCAAACUAUACAGUCAAUACACCCCUCAGUUCACCAGCACACAGUCAUACUUUAGCGUAACGUACACCCAGUCUAAACGACAAUCACAAGUUCACAUCUGCAUCUCAUACAAACACAAUCUACAAUUUUCGUCCUGUCCACAUCCACACACAUAUAUAUAUAUAUUCCAAGACAAUCACAAUAUGCAUUCAACACUAAGUCUACUUCAAUCCAUAUGUAUAUAUAUAUUUUCAGUCAAUCCACAGUAUACAUUCAACACCGAAUCUACAUCCAUACGUGUAUAUAUAUAUAUCAUCUCAACAUCUUUACUCAGUCAGAGACAAUCAUACAGACAUACAAUUCACAAUCAUAAGUGAGUCCAGUAGAAAAUCCCUUACCUCAAAGUUAGGGAAGCUCCUUAAUCAACUAACGUCCUCGAAACAAUCCUAAGCAAUACAAUACAAAAAUUCGAUUACUUUCAAGAUACAUAUCUCACUUACUUUCCUCAACGUAAGUUCCAACUCACCGAAGUAUUGGCGAACUGAACCCUCAACAAUUCAUAUAUUGGUUGUGAAUUUAAGGGAGCCCAACGUUACUCCCAACACCUCAACGCACGACUGUCGAACUCGCAGCAAAAAUCCUAAGUGUGGGUCGGUCAGCGGUCGGCCAAAGGAGACGUGGCGGCUGCCUCAAAAUCGAUCGACGAUCUGACGCGGCGACCGGGCUUCACAAGAUGUAUGCAUCGACGGCUUCACGGAGGUGAAGACAGACGCGGUCGAGAGUCGCGCGGCAGUGCAGAAAACAGAGGAGAACGAAAUGGGCGGCGGCUGGAAACAGAGGUUGCGCGGCAGGGCUUCACGAACCGGCCGACGGUUGCAGCGACGGAUCUGGGUUACUGCGAACUGCAAGGGUGAAGCACGAGCGGCAGCGAGGACCUGGACGGCUCGGCGAUGCAGAUCUGGACGACGGUUGUGAGCGGGGAGGCACGACAGUUACAGGUGGAUGGGCGCGGCGGUUUCGAUCCGAAGGAGAAAAGAGAGGGUGGCGGUUGGGUUCGGCUUCGGUGAAUGGAGACGGAAACAGACGAACGGAGAGUCACGCGGGACGACUGCUGCAAGGUUGCUUCGCGAACGGAGAUGGAGAACGGAAGGGAGGGUCGCGGCGCUGGGCGGAAGAAGAAAAGGGAAAAAAGAAAUUUUCAUU